rnacentral:rRNA from 1 species
UUUGCCUACGGGGGGCAGCAGUGAGGAAUAUUGGUCAAUGGUCGGGAGACUGAACCAGCCAAGCCGCGUGAGGGAGGAAGGUACAGAGUAUCGUAAACCUCUUUUGUCAGGGAACAAAGGCGGGGACGUGUCCCCGGAUGAGUGUACCUGAGGAAAAAGCAUCGGCUAACUCCGUGCCAGCAGCCGCGGUAAUACGGAGGAUGCGAGCGUUAUCCGGAUUUAUUGGGUUUAAAGGGUGCGCAGGCGGUCUGUUAAGUAGGCGGUCAAAACCCGGGGCUCAACCCCGGCCCGCCGUUGAAACUGGG